CCAAUAGCGUAUAUUAAAGUUGUUGCAGUUAAAAAGCUCGUAGUUGAAUUUCGGGAUCAAUACUUCGGUCGUGCCUUUUGUACGUUCUGUCGUCAUUGGUUUCUCCCUUCUGACGAACCAUGAUGUCAUUAAUUUGGUGUUAUGGGGAGUUAGGACUGUUACUUUGAAAAAAUUAGAGUGUUUAACGCAGGCAUUAGCUUGAAUACAUUAGCAUGGAAUUAUGAAAUAGGACGUUCGAACCUAUUUUGUUGGUUUCUAGGAUCAACGUAAUGAUUAAUAGGGAUAGUUGGGGGCAUUAGUAUUCAAUUGUCAGAGGUGAAAUUCUUGGAUUUAUUGAAGACUAACUACUGCGAAAGCAUUUGCCAAGGAUGUUUUCAUUAAUCAAGAACGAAAGUUAGGGGAUCGAAGACGAUCAGAUACCGUCGUAGUCUUAACCAUAAACUAUGCCGACUAGGGAUCGGAUGAUGUUAAUUAUUUAAUGACUCAUUCGGCGCCUUACG
rnacentral:rRNA from 1 species